GUUUUCAGGCCAGGCAGAUAAGACCUGGAUCACAUAGAGCCUCAGGCCACAUGCAGCCUUGUCCUCUUGCUCCUGUGUUAUUGGGAGGGAAUGGCUGGGAUGGAUGGGAUGUUAGUGAGCUCAGUCUGCAUAAAGCCACUCUCACUUCUGAGACCAAUUACAGGUUCAGGGAAAUCCCCAAACCAUUCCAGUUUCAGCCCUCUGCUGGAAAGGCUCACGGUAUCACUGAAGGCUGUGGUACCCAGGUUAUCACUUAUUACAGCAAAAGAAUGCCGCUUGAAGUCGGCCGGGGGAGACGCACGCAGGGCAGAGUCCAGGAAGAUGCCCCCCGCCGAGCUUCCACUGUCCUCCCUGUGCAGCCAUGGUCAGCGGUGCUCCUGCCAGCCAGGGAAGCUCACCCAAGCUUGGAGCCCAGUGUUUCUUGGGGCCCCAUCAUGUCAUAAUGCUCACUUCCCACAUGGCUGACCUCAAUUGGAGCCCCUCAUGAAGCUGGACUAAGGCCACAUGACCCAGAGCCCCCACAUAGCCUUUCUGCCAUGGCCGGCCUCCAACCUAAACAGCGACGCCUGUUGAGCAUGGCAACCCAUCUGAAGCCAAAGGCUAAGUCCAGGCUUCUCCUUGGGCCCGGUUAAAUUCCUUACUGCACAUGCAUCCAUCUACAGCACAUUAACAGAAUCCCAGUUUUUACCUGCGCACGGGCACCCAGAAUUCAGAACCCCAGCCUCCCACGCGUGUUGUGACUAUGUGACUAGAUUCUAGGCCACGAGAUGUAGAGAUGGUAUUUGCCGCUUCUCAGAAGUGUCCUUACGUGGAGGGGGCUUGUUCCCCCUACUUUUUUCUUGCUGCCUAAGUAGGGCUUGAGGGGCUGUCUUGGCCCCUACGGCGAAGCUGCAUGUUCAGGAUGGUGAGCAACACGUUAGCAGGAACCUGGGUUUCUCUUGAUUGAGGCACCUAUCAUAUGAAUGUUUGGAGAAAACAUUUAAAUCAUGUUUAAGUCUCUAUUCCUUUGGAUUUUCUGUCCUUUGCAGCAGGACCUGAUUUCAGCAUUUGCUUCAAAUUUACUUUUCUAUAGCUUACAUCCAGACUUCCAAAACUCUUUUCUCACUGAUGACAAGAUUCCAUCGUUAAUCCAGCUCACCUUCACAUUAUCAGACCUUUCCUCGUCAUUGCCUCUCUGUGGUAACUCUUGCCUCACUAGAACACUGGCCUUUGUCCCAAGCCUUCAUCCUAUCCAGGCUUUUUAUUUUCCAUUUUCAGCUGAAGCAUGAUGGCAGGAAGGGUCAUUUUCUGAUUAUAUAAUUAUCUUUCCAUGGCUAAUGGAUUGGAGAUUUGAUUGAACUUUAUACCUAAGUUUUAUAUCUGUAUCUUCAGGUCAAUUUUUUUGAUUCCCCUUUUUAAAAUUGACAAACAUUUGUUUAAUCAAAAUAAUUAUUUAUACUUCUUUCUAA